rnacentral:rRNA from 1 species
UACGGAGGGUGCGAGCGUUGUCCGGAAUCAUUGGGCGUAAAGGGCGCGUAGGUGGCCACUUCAAGCGUGCGGUGAAAGUCGGGGGCUCAACCCCUGAUCGGCCGUGCGAACUGGGGGGCUGGAGCACUGUAGAGGCAGGCGGAAUUCCGGGUGUAGCGGGGGAAUGCGUAGAGAUCCGGAAGAACACCGGUGGCGAAGGCGGCCUGCUGGGCAGUUUUGCUGACACUGAGGCGCGACAGCGUGGGGAGCAAACAGG